rnacentral:rRNA from 1 species
UGGUAGUGUAUUGGACAACCAUGGCAUUCACGGGCCAUCGGGGGAUUAGGGUUCGAUUCCGGAGAGGGAGCCUGAUAAACGGCUACCACUUCUACGGAAGGCAGCAGGCGCGGAAAUUAUCCAAUCCUGAUUCAGGGAGGUAGUGAAAGAAAUAAUGAACUAGGAUUUAUCCUGGGAUCACAAUGGGCUUGAUUUGCAAACACUUAGCGAGGAACAAUUGGAGGGCAAGUCUGGUGCCAGCAGCCGCGGUAAUUCCAGCUCCAAUAGAGUAUAUAAACGUUCCUGCAGUUAUUCGAUGCUCGUAGUUGGAUUUCUGAGGUUGAGACGGGAGGGUGGCUAUGGCCAUCGCCCGACUCUUUCCUCAUCCACCUGUUUGCGAAGUCCGGGAUUGAUUUCUCGGCUUCGGGCGCAGUAUCUUACCAUUUCAAUAUUCGUAGUCUUCAUCGAUUAUGUUGUUUCUUUGAGCAAAUUAUAGUGUUUCAGGCAGGCGUGCGCCGGAAUACAUUAGCAUGGUAUAAACGAAUUGGACCGUGUGCCCAUAACUGGGCUUCUCCUUAUUGUUGGUUUGAAGGACACGGAGAUGGUUAAUAGGGACAGCGUUUAUUUCACAAGGAGGCAUUAGUAUUUAAUUUCCAGAGGUGAAAUUCUUUGAAACAUUAAAGACUAACUUAUGCGAAAGCAUCGUUUGCCAAUGAUGUUUUCAUUAAUCAUUGAACGAAAGUUAGGGGAUCAAAGAAUCACUAG